rnacentral:tRNA from 1 species
GCUGGGAUGGCGGAACGGCAACGCGCAAGCCUGGAAAGCUUGUCCCCUUACGGGGUUCAGGGUUCGAAUCUGGAAACCACCAGCGGGUUUCCAGCC